rnacentral:rRNA from 1 species
GACGUAGGGCGCAAGCGUUGUCCGGAUUUAUUGGGCGUAAAGAGCUCGUAGGCGCCUGUCGCGUCGACCGUGAAAACCCGCAGCUCAACUGCGGGCUUGCGGUCGAUACGGGCAGGCUGGAGUUCGGUAGGGGAGACUGGAAUUCCUGGUGUAGCGGUGAAAUGCGCAGAUAUCAGGAGGAACACCGGUGGCGAAGGCGGGUCUCUGGGCCGAUGACUGACGCUGAGGAGCGAAAGCGUGGGGAGCGAACAGG